GACGAACGCUGGCGGCGUGCCUAAUACAUGCAAGUCGAGCGAAUGGAAGGGAGCUUGCUCCCUGAAGUUAGCGGCGGACGGGUGAGUAACACGUGGGCAACCUGCCUGUAAGACUGGGAUAACUUCGGGAAACCGGAGCUAAUACCGGAUACGUUCUUUCCUCGCAUGAGGAAAGAUGGAAAGAUGGUUUCGGCUAUCACCUACAGAUGGGCCCGCGGCGCAUUAGCUAGUUGGUGGGGUAAUGGCCCACCAAGGCGACGAUGCGUAGCCGACCUGAGAGGGUGCUCGGCCACACUGGGACUGAGACACGGCCCAGACUCCUACGGGAGGCAGCAGUAGGGAAUCUUCCGCAAUGGACGAAAGUCUGACGGAGCAACGCCGCGUGAGCGAAGAAGGCCUUCGGGUCGUAAAGCUCUGUUGUCAGGGAAGAACAAGUGCCAGAGUAACUGCUGGCACCUUGACGGUACCUGACCAGAAAGCCACGGCUAACUACGUGCCAGCCGCCGCAGUAAAAC
rnacentral:rRNA from 1 species